rnacentral:rRNA from 1 species
CCCUUAGAUGUUCUGGGCUGCACGCGCGCUACACUGAAGCGUUCAACGAGUAUUCACCUUGCCCGGGAGGGUUGGGUAAUCUUUUGAAAACGCUUCGUGAUGGGGAUAGAUUAUUGCAAUUAUUAAUCUUCAACGAGGAAUGCCUAGUAGGCGCAAGUCAUCAGCUUGCGUCGAUUACGUCCCUGCCCUUUGUACACACCGCCCGUCGCUCCUACCGAUUGGGUGUGCUGGUGAAAUGUUCGGAUCGGCCGUUUGCCGCGGUUUCCGCGUCAUGUGGCUGAGAAGUUCAUUAAACCCUCCCACCUAGAGGAAGGAGAAGUCGUAACA